ACACACAAACACAACACAGAGUUCUCGUUAUACUCUGCUCAACCUUUGCUCAGACACGCCGAAAAUCCAUAACCCUUUUACACUUAUACACCUUAUUUAUAUUCUUUCGCUCAUCCCAAGAAACUCAGAACCCACAACAGUUGCGCACAAUGGAGACCUUCAUUCAGGUGUCCUGAACAUUUCAGCCCCCCCUGCAUCUGUAUUUUUGCUUGAAGAAAAAUCUGGAAAUGGCAUUUAAAAUGGGCGAAAACGUUUCUGUGUUGCUCUUCACCCUUCUACUCUUUAUUGGUGGCGUGUAUUCUGUUUCAGCUCCUUCCUCACCUGCCAGAAUCGUAGACGGGCUUUUCUCUAAUGCAUAUUCCAAACUGAUGAAAUGGGUUUUAUCACUCAAGGCCACCUCCAGGACUAGAAAAGAUUGAUGUUCCUGAUUAGAGGGAAGGUUUCUUGGAAUGUUUAUCUGGUUUGUUGUUGGAUUCGCAGCAAUAUCAGGGCGUCCAGUGAUGAAUUUCGAGAACGGGUAUAAUGUGGAGACUGGGUUUGAUGUCAGCAAUUAAGCUUGGGAUUGAGCCUUACUCUGUUGAAGUUUUGCCUGAUGGGAACCUUCUGAUUUUGGAUUCUGCGAAUAGUAAUAUCUACAAGAUAUCAUCCUCUUUGUCCCUGUGUAAGUUUCUGCAGUGGGGAUUCUAUUUUUAUUGCUGCUCCUGCUAGUUUUCUGUGGGUUUGUGCUUCAUUGAUCAUGUAGUUUUUGUCCGAAACGGUUUGUUUCUACUUACAGUGAUUUUCCAGUUGCUGGGCUUCGAGUGGGAACUUGAUGUGUUUGCCAAAAUAUAGGCUGAAUGGCUGAUGUUGAUAGUGAGUUGGCGUAUCUGGCAUACCAAAUCUAUAUGGUGUAACUGCUGCAUCUGCUGAAACUUUUUUGCAUUGAUGAGAUGAAUUUGGUUUUUUGUGAUGUUACUUAUUUUAGGAAACUGUUGAUUUCAAAUGCUUCUGGAUUUGGAGUCUUAUCAAUUGAGAAUGUUUUAUUUGUUCUAAGAAGCCAAAUGCCUGACAGUGUUGCUUCCUCUGAAAUUUAAGUUUCAGCAACUCUGUUAUAGAGAUAUCAAGAUGGUGGAGAAGAGGGUUAGAAUUGGUGAUAAUGGGGGUUAAUAGCGUGGAAAAGAGCAACUUGGAAAAAGUGUCUUCUGGUGGUUAAUUGUUCAAGCGCAUAGAUUUACUGCCAAUUACCGAGUGCUAGGGAAGUGACUUAAAACUGUAAUCUGCUUCACAAUCUCAAUUUUGGAAUGUGGGGAUUGUUUCUAGUUAUGUCUUUCUCUCCACUUUUUCCUCUUAUGGUGAUUUCUGGAAAAUGAAGAUAGCAGGGCCAAGUUGGUUUCAGGGUCUGCAGAUGGAUACUCCGGACAUGUGGACGGAAGAUUGAGAGAAGCAAGAGUGAAUCAUCCAACUGGGAUGAUAGAGGAAAUGUCUACAUCGCCGACACUGAUAAUAUGGCAAUCAGGGAAAUAAAUGAUACAGGUUGUGGCCUUAAUUUCUUUUUUUAGGGGUCUCUCAACCAUUGCUGGAGGCAAACGUGGUAAUGGAGGUCAACAUGUGGAUGGACCAAGAGAAGAUGCAAAAUUCUCUAGUGAUUUUGAUGUGGUCUAUAUUUGGAGCCAUUGCUCCCUCCUUGUUAUCGACUGUGGAAAUAACGCAAUUUGUGAGAUACGACUCCAUUAUGAUGAUUGUGCUUAUCAGUAUGGAAGUGGUUUUCCCUUAGGAUGAGGGAGUUAUGCGCAAUCAACACCAAAAGCCAUUAAAGUCAUCAAUAAGACCACCACUAAUUCCAACAGAAGACCAGCAGGAAAACCAAGAAGAAAGCUUUCUAGGAUAUGUUGGAAGUCUGGUUGCACAGACCAGAGCAUCUGCUGCAGAUAUUCUGAGAGUAGUAUUUCCUAUGUAUAGGAACAAACCUAAUCAUCCUUAUCAGCAAUGCCUUAAUCAACAAAAGAAGCAUCCAAAUUCUUGGCCCGUACAGGAGAGCGUUGUAGCCCCAGGCGACGAUGAACUUCCAACCCUUGGAACCCAGAAUUUCUACUCCUCAUCGAACCUAAGACUUCAUGUCUGAAGAUUCUGAAAAAGUGCAACAUCUCCCACAAAGCCAUGCUCUCUAUAGUGGGUGGGAAGGAGACUUUUCACAGCAGCAGAAAAUAAAGAAACAGCAUCCUCGUUAUUAGUAUCAUUAAUCAGCUCCACGUACUUACUAUCAGCCACCUAUGAGAAGACGAAUUUGAUAGUUCUUGAGGCCGUGCAUGAGCAAGAGAAGGAGAGGGACGAUCUGAUGAUACUGGAUCAGGGCACAUUCCUGUUCAAGAACGUAUAGUACUCGUGCUGGAGUCAGCAAUGUGCAU